GGCUUGUCCGAGUGCAGUGGUGUUUACAACUAAUUGAUCACAGCCAGUUACAGAUUUCUUUGUUCCUUCUCCACUCCCACUGCUUCACUUCACUAACCUUAU
ensembl:misc_RNA Y_RNA Y RNA